rnacentral:snRNA from 1 species
AUACUUACUUGGCGCCGGGUUCAGGGUGAUCAAGAAUGCUCUGAUCCCGGGUGGAGGCUCACCAUUGCACCUCGGUGGGUUGAAACUCGUGACGGACCUUAAUCGGGUGCGCUCAGGCGUGUUGUUUUUGUCAAUGGGGAGGUCUCACGGUCCUCCUAU